ACACGGCCACACUGGCACUGAAACACGGGCCAGACUCCUACGGGAGGCAGCAGUGGGGAAUCUUGCACAAUGGGGGAAACCCUGAUGCAGCGACGCCGCGUGAGCGAUGAAGCCCCUCGGGGUGUAAAGCUCUUUCGGCAGGGAAGAUUAUGACGGUACCUGCAAAAGCAGCUGCGGCUAACUACGUGCCAGCAGCCGCGGUAAUACGUAGGCAGCAAGCGUUGUUCGGAGUUACUGGGCGUAAAGGGUGCGUAGGCGGCUUUUUAAGUUUGGUGUGAAAUCUCCCGGCUCAACUGGGAGGGUGCGCCGAAUACUGAGAGGCUAGAGUGUGGGAGAGGAAAGUGGAAUUCCUGGUGUAGCGGUGAAAUGCGUAGAUAUCAGGAGGAACACCGGUGGUGUAAACGGCUUUCUGGACCAUAACUGACGCUGAGGCACGAAAGCGUGGGUAGCAAACAGGAUUAGAUACCCUGGUAGUCCACGCCCUAAACGAUGCAUAUUUGGUGUGGGCCAUUCAUUUGGUCUGUGCCGGAGCUAACGCGUUAAAUAUGCCGCCUGGGGAGUACAGUCGCAAGGCUGAAACUCAAAGGAAUGACG
rnacentral:rRNA from 1 species